rnacentral:rRNA from 1 species
GAUCAUGGCUCAGGACGAACGCUGGCGGCGUGCCUAACACAUACAAGUCGAACGGAGAAUUUUAUUUCGGUAGAAUUCUUAGUGGCGAACGGGUGAGUAACGCGUAGGCAACCUGCCCUUUANACGGGGGACAACAUUCCGAAAGGAGUGCUAAUACCGGAUGUGAUCAUCUUGCCGCAGUGGCAGGAUGAAGAAAGAUGGCCUCUACAAGUAAGCUAUCGACUAAAGGAGUGGGCCUGCGU